AUUGAACGCUGGCGGCAGGCCUAACACAUGCAAGUCGAGCGGAUGAAGGGAGCUUGCUCCUGGAUUCAGCGGCGGACGGGUGAGUAAUGCCUAGGAAUCUGCCUGGUAGUGGGGGAUAACGUCCGGAAACGGGCGCUAAUACCGCAUACGUCCUGAGGGAGAAAGUGGGGGAUCUUCGGACCUCACGCUAUCAGAUGAGCCUAGGUCGGAUUAGCUAGUUGGUGGGGUAAAGGCCUACCAAGGCGACGAUCCGUAACUGGUCUGAGAGGAUGAUCAGUCACACUGGAACUGAGACACGGUCCAGACUCCUACGGGAGGCAGCAGUGGAGAAUAUUGGACGAUGGGGGAAAGCCUGAUCCAGCCAUGCCGCGUGUGUGAAGAAGGUCUUCGGAUUGUAAAGCACUUUAAGUUGGGAGGAAGGGCAGUAAGUUAAUACCUUGCUGUUUUGACGUUACCAACAGAAUAAGCACCGGCUAACUUCGUG
rnacentral:rRNA from 1 species